rnacentral:rRNA from 1 species
UACAGAGACUGCAAGCGUUAUUCGGAUUCACUGGGCGUAAAGGGUGCGCAGGCGGUUGGGUGUGUCAGAUGUGAAAUCCCGAGGCUCAGCCUCGGAACUGCGUCUGAAACUACUCGACUAGAGUACUGGAGAGGGUAACGGAAUUCACGGUGUAGCAGUGAAAUGCGUAGAUAUCGUGAGGAACACCAGAGGCGAAGGCGGUUACCUGGACAGUUACUGACGCUCAGGCACGAAAGCAUGGGGAGCAAAAGGG